GAGGGUACAGCUCAGUGGUAAAGCACUUGCCUACCAUGCAUGAGGUCCUGGGUUCAAUCCCUAGUACGUCCA
rnacentral:tRNA from 1 species